rnacentral:ncRNA from 1 species
GUACUACAAAAAUGGUAUCGAAAAGUUGGAGGAUCGCUAUAAUCAGUGUAUCACCCUUGAAGGAAAUUAUGUUGAAUAAAAAAAACGAAUUUUGCAAAAAAAUGUAUUUUACUAUUUUAGGCCGGGGACUUUUCAAUUGACCUGUUACAUGAGCUGGGAUUAGGCAAGAGACAGAUUAGUUUUAUUCUACUGAUGGCUUGUCUUUGCGAUUGAAAUCCUGCUCAGUACGAGAGGAAGCGCAGGCUCAGACAUUUGGUUCACGCAUUCGUUCGAGCGGUCGGUAGUACGAAGUUACCAUCCAUGGGAUUUUGCCUGAGCGACUCUAAGAUCGGAUCAGGAUUAGGAGUUCCGAGGGUCGGAAGACCUCAUAGCAUACGUCCGCAGUGAACGUCGUACGGGUCCAAUUGUCGAGCGAGGUGAUAGCACGGCGCCGGAAUCGCUCGCGCUACGCCGUCCGGUCUCAGACGGUCCACCAUAGAUAGUCACUUUUUGAUGUCUGAAUUCGGAAUUGUUUGUUGGUGACUUACCCACCUGGUUGGGUGUUGUACUUGCUAGAUCAAUUUCCACGCUGCGAUCUAUUGAGACUCAGCCUUUAGCUGGAUUAAUAUAA